rnacentral:rRNA from 1 species
UACGUAGGGUCCGAGCGUUUGUCCGGAAUUAUUGGGCGUAAAGAGCGUGUAGGCGGUUCGGUAAGUCUGUCGUGAAAUCCUGAGGCUCAACCUCGGGCGUGCGAUGGAUACUGCCGGGCUAGAGGGUGGUAGAGGCGAGUGGAAUUCCCGGUGUAGCGGUGAAAUGCGCAGAUAUCGGGAGGAACACCAGUAGCGAAGGCGGCUCGCUGGGCCACACCUGACGCUGAGACGCGAAAGCUAGGGGAGCGAACAGG